CCUACGGGUGGCAGCAGUGAGGAAUAUUGGUCAAUGGGCGCAAGCCUGACCCAGCAACGCCGCGUGAAGGAAGAAGGCUUUCGGGUUGUAAACUUCUUUUCUCAGGGACGAAGCAAGUGACGGUACCUGAUGAAUAAGCCACGGCUAACUACGUGCCAGCAGCCGCGGUAAUACGUAGGUGGCAAGCGUUAUCCGGAUUUACUGGGUGUAAAGGGCGUGUAGGCGGGAAAGCAAGUCAGAUGUGAAAACCAUGGGCUCAACCUGUGGCCUGCAUUUGAAACUGUUGUUCUUGAGUACUGGAGAGGCAGACGGAAUUCCUAGUGUAGCGGUGAAAUGCGUAGAUAUUAGGAGGAACACCAGUGGCGAAGGCAGUCUGCUGGACAGCAACUGACGCUGAGGCGCGAAAGCGUGGGGAGCAAACAGGAUUAGAUACCCCUGUAGUC
rnacentral:rRNA from 1 species